rnacentral:rRNA from 1 species
CCAAAACAUCUCUUUUUGAAUUUAAUAAAAAGUUUAACCUGCCCACUGAAAAUUUUAAAUGGCCGCAGUAUUUUGACUGUGCAAAGGUAGCAUAAUCAUUAGUCUUUUAAUUGAGGGCUGGAAUGAAUGGUUGGACGAAAUAUUAACUGUUUCAUAUUAAAUUAUAAUAAAAUUUUAUAUUUUAGUAAAAAAGCUAAGAUAUUAUUAAAAGACGAGAAGACCCUAUAAAUCUUUAUAUUUACUGAGUUUAUAAAAAUUAGAAAUUAAAUUUUAUUUAUUUAUAUAAAUAUUUUAUUGGGGUGAUAUUAAAAUUUAAUUAACUUUUAUUUAUUUAUACAUUAAUUUAUGAUUUUUUGAUCUUUUAAUAUUGAUUAAUAGAAUAAGUUACUUUAGGGAUAACAGCGUAAUUUUUUUGGAGAGUUCAUAUUGAUAAAAAAUAUUGCGACCUCGAUGUUGGAUUAAGAAAUAAAUUUGGGUGAAGAAGCUUAAAAUUUAAGUCUGUUCGACUUUUAAUUUCUUAC